rnacentral:lncRNA from 1 species
AUGAGACCAUUAGCAUGCCUCUGCAUAAUUAUUAAGAGUAUCCUACACAGAAGGAACCAGCCUCGUGACCUCACUCAGGUCACAAACCAGUUGUGGGCACAGCCAGCAGCACAGGGAGCUGGAGUGAGGGACCACAGGCAUAGGAAAGAACGGCAAUUUCCAAAUCAGCAGCCUCUAGGUAAGCAGAACUCAUGGCCAAGAAGGGAUGUCUUUUAUCACUGUGAUGCGGAAUGCUGUGGCAGUGCCAGGUACUGCAGGUUUAGUGUAUAUAAAAACUGCUUUUUUGGAAUUACCUCUCCUGAAAUUUAAGCUUAGGGAGAAGAUAAUGGCAUUUUAUAAAAUCUCGCAUGUUUUUAUUCAUAUAGUUAUCUUUUGCCUUCUAAACCCAUCAGGAAUUAAUUAUUAUGGGCAGAAUCACUCAGCACCACAUUCAGCCUAACUGAAUAAAACAUGGGUAAACUACCACGAAGGUAUGCCAUACUGUAACAUUAAUUAUGGUUCUACAAAUGCACUUGUAUUCACCUUUGCAGGUACUGCACAUCCCCCAGAAAAAGGCAAGCAACCACCAAAUUGGCUGAAUUGCCCCCUGAAACCUUGCAGGAACCACAGGAAUCAGAAUCUACGUAUACCUGCUCUCCGUUCAAAUAGCUCUGCCUCAGCAACACAUUUCAGAACUUCAUCUAUUCCUCUUUUAACUUCAACUUACCUAGCAUUAUGCUGACUCCCCUCAUAUCCCAUCUCAUGGCUCUCACAUCCCAUCGAUGGCAAGAAAAUUCCUCACAUUUCUUGUCCCCAGCCUUCAUAAUUAAUUGCUGAUUGAUACUUUCUAGACCUCCCUAAGAAGAUGUUUACAUUUUUCCUUCAACGCCAUCACCAAGGAAAGGCAGUGAGAUGGGAUGUAGCUGCUGCAAAAGGCACUCCAGGCCUGUUGAAAACAUGCUCUCAGCUCUGCCAAACUGCUCCAGCUGCAAUUGCCAAAUAUUUAACGCACCUAAUUCUGAAUAGGAUUGGAGUGCUUGCAGGCAAUUCAGUGGCCAGAUGCAGCUCUAGGAUGUAGAACUAAAAUUUCCCUUAUUUUUAUAUCUUAACUCUGUAUUUCCCCUUUUUUUCCUGAAGCCAAGGCUGAAGAUAUUCUUUAUUUUUGAGUGUUCAAAAGUUUGCUGAAAUCAAUAUUCAGUAAGAGAAUGAUAUUUAAGGUUGUUGGAGGUACCAUUCCCUUCCCUCCCCCAAAUAAGAGAACUAUACUCUGUAAUGUGAAUUAAAUGUAUCUUUGGAAGUUAUGCUUUGGGUACACGAUCAUUAUAAUCUCAGUACCAGCCCUUUCCCCCUAAACUUUGAUGAAAUAGGCCUUAACAAUCCUAUUUAUUGUAUCGUCAGUCAGGUUUAUAUAAACUAAAGCCCAGUACACACGUAGAACAUGCACGUUCUUACCUGUUAUUGACUACACAUGUAAUUUACUCUGUAUAGAUUUCAGGUCACACAAAUCAUCUCUAGGCAUUUAUAAAUAUCUAAUAAAUAAAAUAAAUAAAUAAAAUGGUGAUAAGAGCACCUGCCUGAGAGCUAAGAAGAUGCAGAAUUAAGGAGAAGGAGAACUAACACUGCCACCUAACAGGUUCCUCCCCUUUGAACGAGAACUAUACGGUAUGUACGGGGUGGCUCAGAGUGUGGCUUAUGUUUAGUUGGCCCAAUCCAGGGGAGGUGUUACGUGCUGACUGUAUCAUUUAAAUGUAUUCCCAUAUUUCCACUUACAUACCAUACACUGGAGAGACAAAAGGUGACUUUCCCACCAAAUUCUGAAUUGCAAACCUAUUACAAUAUUUAACUUAAUAAGCAAGGAAGUGUGGGCAGAAACCGCUGGUUACAGUUUAAGCUUACAACAUCAGAAUUUCAACAACUUCUCUACUCAGGGAAAAUUAAUAACAGUGUUUCCCAUUGGAAGGUAUUAGGUGUCUUUAAAAUAGUUAAGUUAUUUGUUUUCUUUUAAUUACUUCCUGCCAAUAUCUCUAAGUGUUCAAAACUAACUUCUAAAAUCCAAUAUGAAAUUGCUAUUGUUUUUAUAUCAUCAAAAAAGAAAGAUUAAUGACACAUUUCAGUAAUCCAGUAAUAACUGGCUUUUUUCAUUGUUUAAGCUCUAUGUAAUCCUCAGUGGAUCUUAGAUGUAGGUUAAAAAGGUAUUUAAUGCCUGUUUUUCAGUUGCCAAGGGUCAAACAUCACCUAGCUUGUAUAAAGAAAGAGGAAACAUCUGUUGAAAUAAUUUAUUUGACUAACACAGAGGGUAGGAUUAAAAUUCACUGAUUUCUUUGGUCUGAUACUGAAUUUCAAUUAAACAAUGUAAGUAUUUGUUCGGUUUGACAAAAUUGCCUUGGCUUUACAUGUGGGCACAUUUAUGCAUGUCACUAAUUACUGGAUCUGACUAGGGAAUACUGUGAUUCGCGAUUACUUCAUAUCUGCAUACUCUCUGAGAAAGAGUAUUCUUGUAUUUUGACUUGAUUCUUUUUCCCCUAAAUAUUUUAAAGAAUUCACAAACCUUUCACAAAUUCCCAAGACUCUUCAGUUUCCAUGGAAUUCCACUAGUAACAAGAUUAAAAUAUAUCUUAAGGUCAGUGAUUACACAUGGACUUGUGAUGUACAGCAACCUUUAGCAUCCAAGAUAAAAGUCCUGUUUAUAACACUAGUUUUUGAAAAUAAUAAAUGUAUGUCAUCUGACUCUGGUUCCUUAUAAUCUUUACGUGAAUCAAAGCCAAAUCUUCAUGACUAAUUGUAAAAAUAUUUUUUUUUUUUUUUUUUUCGCUAUUUAUAUAUUAAUUUACAUUUGCAAAUUAAACAAAGACAGAUAUUUUAUUCCAAUCAUGGAAUAUUCAAUCUUUGCCUUUCUAUGGUCAGAAGGAAUUUCAACAGGCUAGGACAGUACUCCAGUUUCUUAAUAGGUGAUUUUGUGUUAUUUUUUUUCAGGCAAAGAAGCUCCACAAUUGAACAGCUUUUUAACAUAAUAGAGUCGAGUCAGAAUGCUUUGUUUAAAGGGGGAUAGCAGAAGAUCUUUCAUUGAAGAAAAUAACUCGGAGGUGCUGUACACGCAUGUUGCAUUUUUGUUAGGACUAAGGGACAUGGUAAGUGAAAAGCUUAGUUUCAUUCAGCCUGGAUCAAAAGACAAAAUGCUAAUAAAGAUGAAGUGCAGGCUGACAGAACACUUGAGUGCAUUAAGCUCAUUUUAGCAUUGAAUUCCUGCAAUUCUUGUUUUGAAACUUCUCCACUGCUAUGUACCUUCUCUGCAGCAGGAAGAAAAAUAAUCAAGAAUGGGCACAUUUGUAAAUUCAGUUUCUUUUUAGGACAGAAUAUAUCUACUGCCUUAUGAAGAGCAAAAGUAACAAUUCUAAAGGGAUUUGUGAUUCCUUUUCCCUUCUCAAAGGAAAGGCAGAACAAAUCAGUAGGAACAAAAGAAAAAGGAAUGGAAAGUGAUCAGUUGAUAAAGAAUAAAAUAGUGUUAAAUGUUGCUUAAUGAAAUUUUCCAACCUACUAAUAAAUUUUGAUUUGAAUGUAAAAUACAAUGCUGUGUUUAAUAAUUUAGUUACAAAAUAAUAGUUCUGUCAGUUUAAUUUAUUUAUUUUACCUACAACAUUGCUUUAUUUUAUUUUAUUUUGUUUCUUUGUUAGCCAGUAGAGCUGAUAAGUAACAAGAGUUAAUAGUAAUAAUAAGUAGUAUUAGAAGUCUGGAAGGAGUGGUGUUAGAUCCCACAUACUGAUCUAAACAAAAACACUACUACUGCAGGUUACACUGUUAAAACUGUAGGUCCCAAACUGUAAAUCCCUAUUUGGAGAUUUUAUUCCCACAGUUGCAUGAGAGCUCACAAGGAUGCUGAUAUGAAUAAGGAAUACAUAUGCUAAACUCCAAAUUGUUUAAGCUCAUCUAAUGUCUGAAUGUCUGUAAGGCACAGACAUCAGAUUUCCUCUCUUGAUUAUCUUGAUGGUCUUAAGCUGAUGCUACAGGAAAACACCAAUCAAGUACAUAAUACGCUGGAACAUGUCC